rnacentral:rRNA from 1 species
UACGUAGGGGGCAAGCGUUGUCCGGAUUCAUUGGGCGUAAAGAGCGUGUAGGCGGCCAGGUAGGUCGGUUGUGAAAACUGGAGGCUCAAUCUUCAGAGGUCGACCGAAACCAUCUGGCUAGAGUCCGGGAGAGGAGAGUGGAAUUCCUGGUGUAGAGGUGAAAUUCGUAGAUAUCAGGAGGAACACCAGUGGCGAAGGCGGCUUCUCGA